CUGGCCGUGACAGAUGGAUAACCGGGAGAAAUCCCGCCUAAUACAACAUAAUGCCGGGAGGGGACAUCCCCUGCCGGCCAAAGGGGGCGACCCCGGUCACGGAUGGGCAUGCGGCGCAUUAGGUAGUUGGUGGGGCAACGGCCCACCAAGCCGACGAUGCGUAGGGGUUCUGAGAGGAAGGUCCCCCACAUUGGAACUGAGACACGGUCCAAACUCCUACGGGAGGCAGCAGUGAGGAAUAUUGGUCAAUGGCCGGAAGGCUGAACCAGCCAAGUCGCGUGAGGGAAUAAGGCCCUACGGGUCGUAAACCUCUUUUGCCAGGGAGCAAUGCCGUCCACGUGUGGACGGAAGGAGAGUACCUGGAGAAAAAGCAUCGGCUAACUCCGUGCCAGCAGCCGCGGUAAUACGGAGGAUGCGAGCGUUAUCCGGAUUUAUUGGGUUUAAAGGGUGCGUAGGCGGCCUGCCAAGUCAGCGGUAAAAUUGCGGGGCUCAACCCCGUACAGCCGUUGAAACUGCCGGGCUCGAGUGGGCGAGAAGUAUGCGGAAUGCGUGGUGUAGCGGUGAAAUGCAUAGAUAUCACGCAGAACCCCGAUUGCGAAGGCAGCAUACCGGCGCCCUACUGACGCUGAGGCACGAAAGUGCGGGGAUCAAACAGGAUUAGAUACCCUGGUAGUCCGCACAGUAAACGAUGA
rnacentral:rRNA from 1 species